rnacentral:rRNA from 1 species
AGUAACCUGCCUUGGAGUGGGGAAGUAACAGUUGGAAACAGCUGCUAAUACCGCAUAAUAUGUCUGUGUCGCAUGGCACUGGGCAUCAAAGAUUUAUCGCUCUGAGAUGGACUCGCGUCUGAUUAGCUAGUUGGCGGGGUAACGGCCCACCAAGGCGACGAUCAGUAGCCGGACUGAGAGGUUGACCGGCCACAUUGGGACUGAGAUACGGCCCAGACUCCUACGGAAGGCAGCAG